AAAGGACAAGCUGUGAUGGGGAGCGAAAUUUAGUAGCGAAGUUCCUGAUGUCACACUGCCAAGAAAAGCUUCUAGUGAGAAAGUAACUGCCCGUACCGCAAACCGACACAGGUAGUUGAGGAGAGAAUCCUAAGGUGUGCGAGAGAACUCUCGUUAAGGAACUCGGCAAAAUGACCCCGUAACUUCGGGAGAAGGGGUGCUGACCGCAAGGUCAGCCGCAGUGAAUAGGCCCAAGCGACAGUUUAUCAAAAACACAGGUCUCUGCAAAAUCGAAAGAUGACGUAUAGGGGCUGACGCCUGCCCGGUGCUGGAAGGUUAAGAGGAGAGGUUAGCGCAAGCGAAGCUUUGAAUUGAAGCCCCAGUAAACGGCGGCCGUAACUAUAACGGUCCUAAGGUAGCGAAAUUCCUUGUCGGGUAAGUUCCGACCCGCACGAAAGGCGUAACGAUUUGGGCACUGUCUCAACGAGAGACUCGGUGAAAUUAUAGUACCAGUGGAGAUGCUGGUUACCCGCGACAGGACGGAAAGACCCCAUGGAGCUUUACUGCAGUUUGAUAUUGCGUGUUUGUAUCACAUGUACAGGAUAGGUAGGAGCCGAAGAUACCGGGACGCCAGUCUCGGAGGAGGCAACGGUGGGAUACUACCCUUGUGAUAUGACCACUCUAACCCGCUGCUCUUAGCGAGCAGGGAGACAGUGUCAGACGGGCAGUUUGACUGGGGCGGUCGCCUCCAAAAAUGUAACGGAGGCGCCCAAAGGUUCCCUCAGAAUGGUUGGAAAUCAUUCGUAGAGUGUAAAGGCAGAAGGGAGCUUGACUGCGAGACCUACAAGUCGAGCAGGGACGAAAGUCGGGCUUAGUGAUCCGGUGGUUCCGCAUGGAAGGGCCAUCGCUCAACGGAUAAAAGCUACCCUGGGGAUAACAGGCUUAUCUCCCCCAAGAGUUCACAUCGACGGGGAGGUUUGGCACCUCGAUGUCGGCUCAUCGCAUCCUGGGGCUGUAGUCGGUCCCAAGGGUUGGGCUGUUCGCCCAUUAAAGCGGUACGCGAGCUGGGUUCAGAACGUCGUGAGACAGUUCGGUCCCUGUCCGUCGCGGGCGUUGGAAAUUUGAGAGGAGCUGUCCUUAGUACGAGAGGACCGGGAUGGACACACCGCUGGUGUACCAGUUGUUCUGCCAAGAGCAUCGCUGGGUAGCUAUGUGUGGACGGGAUAAACGCUGAAAGCAUCUAAGCGUGAAGCCCCCCUCAAGAUGAGAUUUCCCAUCACUUUAAGUGAGUAAGACCCCUGAGAGAUGAUCAGGUAGAUAGGUUGGGAGUGGAAGUACAGCGAUGUAUGGAGCGGACCAAUACUAAUCGGUCGAGGACUUAACC
rnacentral:rRNA from 1 species